rnacentral:rRNA from 1 species
CGGUCAACGGUCUACAGGUAACGUAGGUUUACGUACUACCGUCGGCGACGAGGACGAACGCUGGCGGCGUGCCUAAUACGAUGCAAGUCGAGCGAACAGAAAACGGAGCUUGCUCCUUUGACGUUAGCGGCGGACGGUGAGUAACACGUGGGCAACCUACCCUAUAGUUUGGGAUAACUCCGGGAAACCGGGGCUAAUACCGAAUAACCUCUUUACUUCAUGGUGAAAGACUGAAAGACGGUUUCGGCUGUCGCUAUAGGAUGGGGCCCGCGGCGCAUUAGCUAGUUGGUGAGGUAACGGCUCACCAAGGCGACGAUGCGUAGCCGACCUGAGAGGGUGAUCGGCCACACUGGGACUGAGACACGGCCCAGACUCCUACGGGAGGCAGCAGUAGGGAAUCUUCCACAAUGGGCGAAAGCCUGAUGGAGCAACGCCGCGUGAGUGAAGAAGGUUUUCGGAUCGUAAAACUCUGUUGUAAGGGAAGAACAAGUACAGUAGUAACUGGCCGUACCUUGACGGUACCUUAUUAGAAAGCCACGGCUAACUACGUG